UGAGGAAUAUUGGUCAAUGGGCGAGAGCCUGAACCAGCCAAGUAGCGUGCAGGAUGACGGCCCUAUGGGUUGUAAACUGCUUUUAUAGGGGAAUAAAGUGAGCUACGUGUAGUUUAUUGCAUGUACCCUAUGAAUAAGGACCGGCUAAUUCCGUGCCAGCAGCCGCGGUAAUACGGAAGGUUCGGGCGUUAUCCGGAUUUAUUGGGUUUAAAGGGAGCGUAGGCCGUGGAUUAAGCGUGUUGUGAAAUGUAGAUGCUCAACAUCUGACUUGCAGCGCGAACUGGUUUACUAGAGUGUGCACAACGUAGGCGGAAUUCGUCGUGUAGCGGUGAAAUGCUUAGAUAUGACGAAGAACUCCGAUUGCGAAGGCAGCUUACGGGAGCACAACUGACGCUGAAGCUCGAAGGUGCGGGUAUCAAACAGGAUUAGAUACCCUGGUAGUCCGCACAGUAAACGAUGGAUGCCCGCUGCUGGUCCAUUAGGGUCAGCGGCCAAGCGAAAGCAUUAAGCAUCCCACCUGGGGAGUACGCCGGCACGGU
rnacentral:rRNA from 1 species